GACGAACGCUGGCGGUGUGCUUAACACAUGCAAGUCGAACGAUGAACCCGGAGCUUGCUCCGGCGGAUUAGUGGCGAACGGGUGAGUAACACGUGAGUAACCUGCCCUUGACUCUGGGAUAACUGCUAGAAAUGGUAGCUAAUACCGGAUACGACCCUCGGUGGCAUCACCAGGGGGUGGAAAGAAUUUCGGUCAAGGAUGGACUCGCGGCCUAUCAGCUAGUUGGUGAGGUAACGGCUCACCAAGGCGACGACGGGUAGCCGGCCUGAGAGGGUGACCGGCCACACUGGGACUGAGACACGGCCCAGACUCCUACGGGAGGCAGCAGUGGGGAAUAUUGCACAAUGGGCGCAAGCCUGAUGCAGCAACGCCGCGUGAGGGAUGACGGACUUCGGGUUGUAAACCUCUUUUAGUAGGGAAGAAGCGAAAGUGACGGUACCUGCAGAAAAAGCACCGGCUAACUACGUGCCAGCAGCCGCGGUAA
rnacentral:rRNA from 1 species